CGAGGACCACCCUUCCCUCCCACGAGGGGAGUUUCCAGCCUGCUGCCUCCAGGCAUCCUGGGGAGAGGAAAAGAGCAACAACUGCCCUCAGCUGUCCCUUUUGCUCUGCCAGAAGACAGUGCAUACUUCCAGAAGUCAGUGCAACUCUACCAGCUGCUCAAAAUCAGAGAUGAAGCUGCCCUUGCAAACGCCCUUUCCAGCCUGGCUGUUGCCCUUGCUGGCAGGACCAGCCAACUGCUCAGCUGGGGAGCUGCAGGAGAUGUUGAUCUGUCCCAGGCCUCAGUAGGCAGCGUCACAUCAGAGGAAUCCAGACUCUUCUUUCCAAUUUACCUUGUUUUGGAAAUCUUCUGAGUGUUAUUAGAUUCUGUAAGACCUGACCUUUAAAAGUCAGGGGUGCAAUUAACCAAUCUGGCCAGCUCUGCAUCAGCAGCUCACGCUAGCCUGGAAGAGGCAGGCACCAGACAAUUCACUUCUGACUAAUGUUAUUAAAGAGGAACAGGAGGUGGACCCAGACGCUUUAAUUAAACUGCAGCAGGUCUGCUCAGCAGGCUGUUAUGAUUGAGUGCAAAGCAAAGAUACCUUGCAAAGUAUGCUAGAAACACAGGGCCUCAUCUAAUUAUGUUGCAUAGCCAUUUUUGUGCUGAUUUUCUGGCAGUGCCAGUUAUCCAGCUGGCAAAAGAAAGGAAAGGUAUCCAGAGACAUCCUCUGCUGCCAGCACUCUGGUUUGGAGGCCUCUACAUUGAUUCACUUUAUCAAAACUAGCGUAUUAAAUGCACAGCUAGAAUUAUAGGAAAAACAGUGUUACCAGGAGAUCACCUUCAUUAUGUGUGUGGGUGACUGCUCUGCUCUCACUUCUAUACCAGAAAUAACCUUGCAUAUAAAAGGUAUUUUCUCCACUCUGUUGGACUCUCUUUUUGUGGUGUAGGUGAAGACAUAGGUUUUAGAGCUUUUGGCCAUUGCUAAAUGGUCACUCCUCUCUUUCCAUGUCCCAUCUACUUUAGAUAUGGACUUGAACUGAAAACAGAAAUUCAUCAAAAAGAUGAAUCUUGGGGCUCUAUUUGGCUUUAUUAUUAUUAUUAUUAUUACUGGUAUGUCAGUUGGCUUGAAUUGCAGACUGCAUUUGUCUGUAUCAGGGUUUGCUGUCCUUUCCACUUGGGAUCUACUGACGUUUUUUGCUUCUUUCUCAACCUUUAUCUUGCUCACAGUGAAUUUCCUCUGGUUCCAAUGGUCCUUUUCUGUUAACACAUACAAACCUCUGACUUAAGGUCAACUACUUUUACUUGCAUCAGAUUGGUCAAGCCUAAAUGGCUAUUAUUUAGGCUGGUAACCUACCCACUCUGUAGCACAAACAUAAGUCAUACGUACUUGUAGUCCAUCGCUUUGACCAUUUAUUUUCUCUUAUUUCAUACUAAGAGAAGCAGACAAGAUUUCCUAACAGUUCACUGUGAAAAAACACAAGCUCUCAGCGCACUCACAGAGAUCCUUGGAAUGUCCCUAACCUGCCCUCCAGUAUGUCAAAAUGACCCUGCAUACUUAAGAAACCCAAAUAUCCAUAACAUUACUGGAACCUGAGUGUACGUGACGGAAAAAAAAAAAAAAAAAAAAAAAAAAAAAAAAAAGCAGGGAGGUGUUAACUCCCUGCAAUUCUUUAUCCAAUAGACAGAGACGAGGCCCUCCAGACUGUAAUUCAAUGCAGAAGUGUAAUUUUACAUUUUUGAUUUGCAUUACGAAAGACCAACCCUCUCCAUCUCUAUCAGUUAGAGAUCUUGGAAUAAUUAGUCUUGGAAGGCUAAAGCCAGCUGUUGUGAAUACGUCCCUAACAGCUUAGAUUUUAGCCUAAGCCUCUGAAUUUUCUUCCAUUUAUCUGGUCAUGCAAGUGAUCAACUAAACAUUUUUUUUGCACCUAGCUAAGUAGGCUAGUUAAAAGAGUUUUGUCAUUACUUUGCUUAGACUUAAGAACCUAAUCAAAAAUCAUUUCAAGUUUCCUAAUGAUUUUCAACUAAGCCUUUAAAUUAACCCUCCUUACUUCUCUUUCUCUAUUUGAGUACUGUUGGUAGAAUUAACAACCUAAAAAAAACCACUACUUUGACUUGCAGAAAAAUUGUUAUUAGUGACUACCUCCAAGUAAAAAAAAAAAACACCUUAACAAUUUUGUGUUUUCUCCUGAUUUAUGUCCAUGGUUUUUCACCUCUACUCUGCUGUCCCAUAUAAUGUAGUGCUGGUCACCCAAUUCUGUAUUAAUGAACAAAAUUUCCAAUUAUGUUAAAGAAGCUAUGGGAAUAUUAUAUAUAUGUAUAUGUAUAUGUAUAUGUAUAUGUAUAUGUAUAUGUAUAUGUAUAUGUAUGAAAAAACCUAUAAAGCGAAUUCUAAACUGGCA